UUCUUUUAGCAGACAAAACAUCUUAUGUGAAGAUUUCCUCGUCUGCUUCUCUACAGCCAAUCAAGUAAUCCAAAGUAUUCAGAUUACGUUACUCACUUUAAGUAAUUUAAUGGAUUACUUUACAGAUUACAUUUUGGGGUAUGUAAUCUGUAAUCUGUAGGGGAAUACAUUUUAAAAGUAACCUUCCCAACACUGGCCAUGGAGCUGUAGAUCUGUGCGGGGACACGCGAGAGAAUCAGAAAAAAAAGUUUUAUUGCUAGUGUUAGUGAACAGAAUUCAUAAAGUAGGAAUUUUAGCGAGAUGGUACACUGAAAAAACGGUCCGAGAGGGGUUGCUCAAAUUGCAAAAACAAAUUUGACAACAAUAACAUCACUUUUUUACAUUUCUCUGUCCAGCAUGUUUAAAUCUUACAAACAUCGCUUGAUUGUGGCCGAUGUGAGACCUGCAUGUUUUAAUCAGGUUGAGGAAACAUGACUUUAUUAUAAUUUCUGGUGAGGCUCCUCCCUCUGGAAUUCUCCUCCCCAAAACCUUUGGAGGGAAAAUUCAAAUGUAACAGGACACAGGACAGUUAGAUGAGCAGAGGACACACAGUGUGGAGCAGGAGGAUUAUGAGAACUGAUCUGGAGAGUCGUCUACAAAGAGUGACGUCCAGAGCUCUGCUGUAGCUAUGGGGAAGUUCAUGAAUGUUAUAGUUGAUGUUUCAGAAAAAAGGAAGAUGUUUGAGAACCAACAAAACACAGACCACAGAUGAACAAAGUGAUGUGGCAUUAGGAGGAC